rnacentral:lncRNA from 1 species
AUGAUUUACUCUCCACUUAUUUGUAUUUUUCAUUUUCUUUCUGUAAUUGAUUUCUAGUUUCAAACUGUUUUGGUUGGAAAAUAUGCUUGAAAUGAUUUAAAUCUUCUUAAAUUUAUUGAGACUCGUUUUGUGGCCAGGAAUUGAUCUGGCCUGGAGAAUAUUCCAUGUGCCCUUAAAAAGAACAUGUAUUCUGAAGUUUUAGUAUGGAAAGUUUUGUAGAUAUUCAUUAAAUCCAUUUGGUCUGAUGUCUCAUUUAAGGUCAAUGUUUUCAUAUUGAUUUUCUUGCUGGAUGAUCUGCCCAUUGAUAUAGGUGGGGUGGUGAAGUCCCCUACUAUUAUUAUGUUACUAUCAGUUUCUUCUUUCAUGCUUAUUAAUAUGCUGUAUAUAUGUAGAUGCUCCUAUGUUGGGUGCACAUUUAUUUAUAAUUUUUAUAUAUUCUUGUUGGUUGAUCUCUUUAUCAUUAUGUUAUGUCCUUCUUUGUCUCUUAUUUCUUUUGGGUUCCCUCUGUAUGGAAUAUAUUUUCCAUUUCUUCACUUUCAAUUUGUAUCUUUAGGUCUGAAGUGAGUGUCUCAUAGGCAGCAUACAGGUGAGUCUUCUUUUUCAUCCAUUUAGCCACCCUAUGUCUUUUGAACAUUUAGUCUAUUUAUAUUUAAAGUGAUUAUUUAAAGAUAUGUAUUUAUUGCCAUUUUGUUACUUGUUUUCUGGUUUUUUGGAGUACUUCUUCUUUUAGUCCCUUCUUUUGUGAUUUGUUGAUUUUCUUUAGUGUUAUCUUUGGGUUGCAAUCUCUUUUUUUUUUGGCUUUUAUUUUAGGUUUUUGCUUUGUGGUUACCAUGAAAUAGAUUUUUUUUAAAGCAGAUAUUUAAGUUUAAAAAAGCUAAAAGCACUCCCUUUUUUUAUACCCCUCCCCUACUUUUAACAUUUUUGAGAUUGAAUUUUAAAUCAUUAUGGGGAUCCAUUAACUACUUAUUAUAUAUAUAUAUAGUAGAUUUAUGAGAUUUAUGAUAUUACAUUUUUAAGUGGUGAAUUAAUUCUGUUUACAAUACAUUUGCCUUGACCAUUGAGGUUUGUUUUUUUUUUUCUUUUUUUUUUUUUCUUAUUUCUUCUUAUGGCCUUUUCUUUUUCACUUAAAGAUGGCCUUUUAAUAUUUUUUGUAAGGCUUGUUUAGUGGUAAUGAACUCUUUGUUUUUGCUAGUUUGGGAAAUUCUUUCUCUCUCUCUUUUUUUUUAAUCUUUUGGUCUUUUUAGGGCUGCACCUGUAGCAUAUGGAGGUUCCCAGGUUAGGGGUCUAAUAGGAGCUGUAGCUGCUGGCCUAUGCCACAGCCACAGCAAGGUCAGAUCUACCAGAUUCGAGCUGCAUCUGCGACCUACACCACAGCUCCCAGCAACACUGGAUCCUUAACCCACUGAGAGAAGCCAGGGACUGAACCCCAUGGUUCCUAGUUGGAUUUGUUUCCACUGAGCCAUGAUGGGAACUCCCUUUCUCUUUUUUUAAAAAAAAUCUUAUUUUUAUUUUUUUCUAUAUGGCCUCACCUGCUGCAUACAGAAGUUUUGGGGCCAGGAAUUAAAUCUGAGCUGCAGUUGUGACCUAUGCCACAGCUGCAGCAAUGUUAUAUCCUUUAACCCACUGUGCCAGGAUGGGGAUCUAACCCAUGCCUCCACAGUGAACUGAGCUGCUGCAGUCAGGUUCUUAACCCACUGUGCCACAUUGGGAACUCCUAUCUCUCUUUUAAUUCCAAAUGAUAAACUGCCAGUUAGAAUAACUUUGGUUAUAGAUUUUUCUUACUUUCAGCAAUUUAAAUAUGUGAUGCCAUUCCGUUCUGGCCUGCAACUUUUCUGCUAAAAAAUUAGGUGGGGUUUCCUUGUAUGUGACUCUGCUUUUCUCUUGAUGCCUUUCAAAUGUUCAAAUUUUUGUCAUUUUAAUUGCAACAUGUCUUUGUGUGCAUCUUUUUGAGUCCAUCUUGUUCAGGACUCUCUGUGCUCCCGAGACCUGGAUAUCUGUUUUAUUUCCUGGUUGGGGAGGUUUUCUGCCACUAUUUAAUCAAAUAGGUUUUCUAUAAUUUUCUCUCUUAUCCUUUUGUGACUCCUAUAAAUGCAAAUAUUAGUAUACUUAAUGUUAUCUUGAAGGUCCCCUAAACUUCAUUUUUUUAUAAAUUAUUUUCUUUUUGCUGAUCUUAUUGGCUUAUUUCCCCUAUUCUGUCUUCUGGGUUAUUUUUAAUUUCUUCUGUUAAUGAUUUUUCUAGUGUAAUUUUCAUUCCAGUUGUCAUAUUCUCCAGCUCUAAUGUGUCUUUUUCUAUAAUUUAUUUAGAAAUAUUCUUUUUAAAAGUUCCCUUUAUGUACCUCUGUUACUUUCCUGAGUUUGCCCAGCACAGGCCAGGGCUUUUCCUGGGGUAUGCCAAUGACUUCUUGGUGGAGGGAUGGAGGGAUGUGGUUGGAGCCAGAACCAGACCUUGGUAGGUCAGCUAGAGUUCCAGGCACUUUUCGGUCUGCUGCCUCUACUUCAUAUCUAUGUUGCUUUAUAUACUUAAUUGUAGAAAGAGCUAUUCUUAUAGUCUUUAGGGUAUUCUCAUAGUUUUUAUAUAUGUAUUUAUAGCAUUGUGUGUCUAUGUGUGGAAGUGAGCUUCAGGUUUUCCUAUUCUGCUAUCUUGACCCCCUCUCUGCUCAUAAAAUAUCUUCUUUUUCUUUUUAUCCCCAGGACCAGCAUAGUGUAUUCUGGAUGAAAAAUAUAUUUAAUAUUCUCCCUUUCUCCUCUUCUCUUGGUCCCCAUUUUCUAUCCCUUCCCCCCUACACAAACACAUUCCAUUUUGUUGAUAAAACCCAGGCUUCUUGGUUGGCUCUGUUCAGGUUCUAAAAGAAUAAAGCAUAGCACACAGCCCAUAGCAACAACUUUGGCUGUUAGGAUAUAUUUUCACAGUUCAAAGAACUAGAAUGCUUUUAACUGUCCUAAAAAAUGCAAAGUAAAUUGGUUUGAACAUGAAUGUACAGAGACUUUUGCUUUCAUGGUGCACUAUGAAAGAUUGUGUACUUCUUUAAAAGUAAAAUGUCAUCUACACAAUGAUAUGUCCCUUUAAUAAACCUAUUAAUAUCAGGAAGUAAUUCAUCCUGUGCUUUGUAUCUGGCAUUAAAUCUAGGCCAAGUACAGUGUAGAGAGGCUACCAGUGUGUAUCUCAGGAUAAAACAAACACAGAAUAUUGGAGGUGGAAAGGAUCUUAGAGACUACUUAUUUCAAUGUUUUUAUUUUAUAUGUGUGUAAACUGAAGUCCAGUAAGAUUACCUGGUUUGUCAAAACUCCUCCAAGGUAUAUGUUUAUAUGUCACUUCAUCCCAUUAAAAGUAUGAGGAAGGACUAAAGUAGAAUGAAAGAAGCAUAUCUAGACAAUAGUUUGUGUUAGUGAACUUGACCUUAAUGAUUCAACCACUAAGAUUAACUUCUCCAGGGAGAACUCUGCAGAACUAAUAGGUUUAUAAAUAUGAUGGCCAGCAGGGCUAUUUCACUCAACAGUAGAUUGUUGCUUACCUGUUAUAACUUCAAAAUGUGAAGAGGGUUUCCACUAAAAAUUACUCUGCCAACUGAACUUUGAGCUUUCUUUAGCAGGCAAUACCAAUUUUAUUCUAUAAUUAAGAGCUUAAGAUAAAAAUAUAUUUAGAAUGAUUCCUUUUGUUUUUUUCCUUCUUUUAAAGGGUCAUCAGGUAUUAGAGGGAGGUGAGUAACAAAAAUGACCCUAGGGAAAUCCAAAGAUCACUGGAUAAGUAAGCAUUUAAACAAGCUAGGAGGAGUGGGACAAGUCUGCUGUUUAAUGGGAAAAAUUCUUAGAUUUGACUUCUGGUACAUAGAAGCACACUGAGAGCCAGAACUGAUAACUGGCUGACAGCUCAAACAGGUACUUCUGAGGUAGGCAUGUGUGGACUUACAUCUGGUCUAGGCUAUGUAACUUUAGAAAAUUCAAUUAACUUUUCUGAGCCUUAGUUUCAUAUUCUAUAAACUGUGAAUGAUUUCACAGAACAGGGUAAGGUAUUAAAAUUAAUACAAGUAAGGCAACACAUAGCAAUUGCUAAAUCCUUAAAAUGUUAGUCAUUUUUUCCCCCAUUUUCUAUUCUUACUUCCUGUGCAAUGGCUGGAUACAAAAUGCUUGAAGACAUAUAAUAUUUCCAAAUAGUCCCUGGAUACAGGGUGAAUAAGAGAUACAAAAACUGCAUGAUUAGGAAG